UCUGUACUCCCUCCGUUCCAAAAUACUUGACUUCCAUUUGUCCAAAAAUGGAUGUACCUAUAUACUAAAACAUGUCUAGAUACAUAUAUAUUUUGACAAAUAGAAGACAUGUAUUGUGCAACGGAGGGAGUAGAAU
rnacentral:pre_miRNA from 1 species